UACGUAGGGGGCUAGCGUUGUCCGGAAUCAUUGGGCGUAAAGCGCGCGUAGGCGGCCAGAUAAGUCCGGUGUGAAAGUCACAGGCUCAACCUGUGAAUGCCGCUGGAAACUGUCUGGCUCGAGUCCGGGAGGGGCGAGUGGAAUUCCUGGUGUAGCGGUGAAAUGCGCAGAUAUCAGGAGGAACACCAAUUGCGAAGGCAGCUCGCUGGGACGUUACUGACGCUGAGACGCGAAAGCGUGGGGAGCAAACAGG
rnacentral:rRNA from 1 species